rnacentral:rRNA from 1 species
GACGAAGGGGGCAAGCGUUGUUCGGAAUUACUGGGCGUAAAGGGCUCGUAGGCGGCCAACUAAGUCCGACGUGAAAUCCCAAAGCUUAACUUUGGAACUGCGUCGGAUACUGGAUGGCUUGAAUUCGGGAGAGGGAUGCAGAAUUCCAGGUGUAGCGGUGAAAUGCGUAGAUAUCUGGAGGAAUACCGGUGGCGAAGGCGGCAUCCUGGACCGACAUUGACGCUGAGGAGCGAAAGCUAGGGGAGCAAACGGG